UGCAGUGUCAUCAGAAGGAGUCCUGUGAUCACAUCGUUAGAAUAAGACCAGAAAACAUUUCAGGUAAACAACAACAGAGACAGAGACAGCUUUAUGAUCCUGAACGGUGUGGGUCUCUCUUUAGUGUCCCCUGGUCUCUAGCUGUGUGUGUCUCUCUUUAGUGUCCCCAGCUGUGUGCGUCUCUCUUUAGUGUCCCCUGGUUUCCAGCUGUGUGCGUCUCUUUAGUGUCCCCUGGUUUCCAGCUGAGUGCGUCUCUUUAGUGUCCCCUGGUUUCCAGCUGUGUGCGUCUCUUUAGUGUCCCCUGGUCUCCGUUGUGUUUGGUGUCUGCAGCUUUUAGUAAACGCGGCUCAUGUUUCCAGAAGCUGCUGCUGUUCUCUAAACGCUGCUUGUGUUGAAGAGCUGCUGCAGAUGUUUCUUCUUCUGCACGAGUGGUUUUUAUAUCUGCGUUGUUCCUGAAGCUGCAGGACGUCUCUCCUGAUGGAAGAGUCUCAGGGGUUGUAGCACGUUAGCACCUGUUAGCCUCUGUAUGUGAAAUCCUUUGCAAUAUGUUUUGAGUGUGACUCCAGAGUAGCCAGCAAUGUGAUGUGACCUGUGUUUCUGUACUGAAGGUAAACUCAACAGAGACAACCUGCUCUACUGUUGAACGUACCUUUUUUGUAUUUCCCACGUUUUUGUGCUUUCUCUUCAUUUCAGCACCAGAUAUUCCAUGGUUAGGAACUCCAGAGUUUAUUUAUUCCGUUGUUUUUAUGUCUCCAAGAUAUCAAACACUCCUCUCAGAGUCGAGUCCGAUUUUCAUAAACACUCAGAGUAUAAAUUGCCAUUUAUCAGGGAACGGGACACAGGACAUGUAUGUGUUACAUCCAUUAAUGUCACAUCUAGAAAAAGACAACUUGAGUUAUUUGAGUCUAAAUAAACAAACUCUCCCACUCUG